GAUGAACGCUGGCGGCGUGCCUAAUACAUGCAAGUCGAGCGAACGGACGAGAAGCUUGCUUCUCUGAUGUUAGCGGCGGACGGGGGAGUAACACGUGGAUAACCUACCUAUAAGACUGGGAUAACUUCGGGAAACCGGAGCUAAUACCGGAUAAUAUUUUGAACCGCAUGGUUCAAAAGUGAAAGACGGUCUUGCUGUCACUUAUAGAUGGAUCCGCGCUGCAUUAGCUAGUUGGUAAGGUAACGGCUUACCAAGGCAACGAUGCAUAGCCGACCUGAGAGGGUGUUCGGCCACACUGGAACUGAGACACGGUCCAGACUCCUACGGGAGGCAGCAGUAGGGAAUCUUCCGCAAUGGGCGAAAGCCUGACGGAGCAACGCCGCGUGAGUGAUGAAGGUCUUCGGAUCGUAAAACUCUGUUAUUAGGGAAGAACAUAUGUGUAAGUAACUGUGCACAUCUUGACGGUACCUAAUCAGAAAGCCACGGCUAACUACGUG
rnacentral:rRNA from 1 species